GACGAACGCCGGCGGCGUGCUUAACACAUGCAAGUCGAACGCUGAAGGCCCAGCUUGUUGGGUUGGAUGAGUGGCGAACGGGUGAGUAACACGUGAGUAACCCGCCCCCUUCUUUGGGAUAACGGUCGGAAACGGCUGCUAAUACCGGGUAUUCACUGUCCUUCGCAUGGGGGGUGGUGGAAAGGUUUUUUCUGGUGGGGGAUGGGCUCGCGGCCUAUCAGCUUGUUGGUGGGGUGAUGGCUUACCAAGGCUUUGACGGGUAACCGGCCUGAGAGGGUGACCGGUCACAUUGGGACUGAGAUACGGCCCAGACUCCUACGGGAGGCAGCAGUGGGGAAUAUUGCACAAUGGGCGAAAGCCUGAUGCAGCGACGCCGCGUGAGGGAUGACGGCCUUCGGGUUGUAAACCUCUUUCGCUCAUGGUCAAGCCGCAACAGUGGUUGUGGUGAGGGUAGUGGGUAAAGAAGCACCGGCUGACUACGUGCCAGCAGCCGCGGUAAUACGUAGGGUGCGAGCGUUGUCCGGAAUUAUUGGGCGUAAAGGGCUUGUAGGCGGUUUGUCGCGUCUGCCGUGAAAUCCUCUGGCUUAACUGGGGGCGUGCGGUGGGUACGGGCAGGCUUGAGUGCGGUAGGGGAGACUGGAACUCCUGGUGUAGCGGUGGAAUGCGCAGAUAUCAGGAAGAACACCGGUGGCGAAGGCGGGUCUCUGGGCCGUUACUGACGCUGAGGAGCGAAAGCGUGGGGAGCGAACAGG
rnacentral:rRNA from 1 species